GAUGAAGAACGCAGCGAAAUGCGAUAAGUAAUGUGAAUUGCAGAAUUCAGUGAAUCAUCGAAUCUUUGAACGCACCUUGCGCUCCUUGGUAUUCCGAGGAGCAUGCCUGUUUGAGUGUCAUGAAAUUCUCAACCUUUCUGGCUUUUACAAGCUAGUCAGGCUUGGAUUAUGGGAGCUGCUGGCUUUUACAAGUCGGCUCUUCUGAAAUGCAUUAGCAAGAUCAUUGCUGCUCAUCAUUGGUAUGAUAAUUAUCUAUAUCAUUGAAGAGUCUGCGUCCUUUAUGGAGGAUUUUGCUUCUAACCGUCUUUCCUAAGACAACAUUUGACAAUUUUGACCUCAAAUCAGGUAGGAUUACCCGCUGAACUUAAGCAUAUCAAUAAGCGGAGGA
rnacentral:misc_RNA from 1 species